rnacentral:sRNA from 1 species
CACUGAUCCUCAGGCCCUUACGGUCUCUCUGCCCCGUCUUCUGUGAUAUCCCCAGAGCCUUUACAGUGCCAAUUAUGUUGAAGAUGCAUCAAUUGGGGUUCAAAAGCCUAAGGACAGUUUAUCUCUGCACACUGACCAGUUGUGAAUCCCUGUGGUGGUCUCUGACUGCUGCAAAAAGAAGAUUUUCUGGACCUGAGCUCUGCUGAAGGAGGCAUCACCUGGGUCGAAGGCCGGCAUUAACUUUAGAGCCAAGAACACACACCGUAAAGCUGGUGCACUGACUCGGUGUCUCUCCAGCUCAGCGGUUCUCCAGGGUGACUUCGCACCUUGGAUUUGUCCCCUCAUCCACAGAGACGUUUGGCCCCAUCUAAAGGCUGCUGGAUGGAAUCGAGGCAGCUGCCUGGCUCAUAAGCUGAAUGGAAGCUGGGAGCAAGAAUGGAGCGCUGAACACAGCUCCUUGCUGAGCGCAGAGAGCAGCUGCAGGUCAUCGAGGGACCACUCAUUGUACUGUGUAUCUGCAGGCCAUGGAGGAGAAACCCUAAUGAGACAUCUCUGCAGGCAUCUGUUUGGGCUUUGUUCUUCCGGGUGGGAGGAAAUCACGCUGAGAUGCGUCCAUGGUGGAGGCAGACACAUGACUUCCCAAUCCAGGACCUCACUGGGCUUUGAUACUUUACGCUUUGCAUGAACAGCAGAUGAGAGAAGCAUCUCUCGGCCCAGAGUCCUUACACUCAAGAAACAUUAUGCAGGAAAACCGUGAAAAGCCGUGAGACCCAUCGAAAGCCGUGGCUCACUUUGGGAUUGAAUUACCACUUAAAUCAAACUGACACUGGGCAGGGGGCUUGAAGAAUGAAAUUAAGGGGGAGGCUGUAUUUCAACUGGGAAGCCUUGGGUGCUUUCCAGGAGAGCAGGUCUCCUCUGGAUGAAGUAUAACCCUGAGCUCGAGCUGUACCCUCUUUGAUUUAUCUCAGCCAGGGAGACUUGUUUCAGUGGCUCCAAAUGUUAUUUUCAAAGAGCAAAUGAACAUCUCAUGCUGGAAGCAAUGACAAGGAAAUCAGCUUGGCAGGAUCCAGUACUGGAAAAGGCAGGAAGGAGCUCUGAGCCCUGCUGGCUUCUAAUUUUAAACUCAAGUUCAAGUCGGCCUGAAGAGCUGGUGGAAGGGAGAUGGGAAUCUGGUGUGUUUCCCAGGAAUAUCUUCUACGGCCGCUGUUGGCGGUCAGGGUGUGCAGAGGCUUGCGGCCAAAGAGGGAAAGGUGACGGUGACUCAACCAGAUGAGAAGGAGAGGAAGUGGGGACCCCAAGCUCAGCUCAGCCCGGUCCUUCCCCAGACCAUCUCCUUAUCAGCCUCCCCUUAUUCUACAGAGAUCAAAGAUGUUGCUUUCAUCUGAGAGAACCAGAGCCAAUAGAUUCAGAGAGCAUCCCAAAGAGGGUUUGUCAGAUCGGCUUAUGCAAUCGGGGCUGGUGAGUGAGUCCAAUGGUGGCCGCCUGCACACAGGAGAGGCUCGGAUCCCAGUAGUCCAUGAGGCCGGACACUUCAGCAGUCUCAGUCUGACACUGAAGACCCUCGGGAUUCCCAAGGAUUCAGUCCACAUUGGAAGACUGGAAAAACUGGCUAUGCGCCGAUCACGGAAUAAACGCCCUCGACGGCCAAAAGCAAAGGAUGUUCCUUGGGGAAACAUUGCAUCUUCUCUGUGGCCACAAGAUCUCUCGGAACAAGACAAGUCCUGUCAUCAUAGGGGGCUUCUGUGGCUAGGCCAGCCUGACAGCAGAUGUGGAGCACGCAACCCCCUACACGCCAGCCUCUACACCCCCACAGGUUGGCCUAGACAGCCAGGUGUGUGUGUCAAGCAGGACAUGGCCCCUCAGGUUGUUGCACCCAUGACCUGGAAUCUAUGUGGGUGUCAGAGAACAACUUGCAGAAGUCGCUUCUCUCCUUCUACCCGAUGGGCCCUGGGGAUAGAAUUCAGUUUUCCAGGUUUGUCGGUAAAGACCUUUCCUAGCUGCAUCUGCUGGGUCUGCUCUCCUGGCCGCUGCUCAGCCUGAUUCAGGGAUGGGGGAGUCAAACGGGAAGUUGCCUAUGCAGAAAAACAAACACAUUGAGAUGCAAGCUUUCACUUCUACACAAAAAACACUCACCAGUGAGUGAGACUCCCAGGGUGCGCACAGUGGAAGGAAAGAACCAAAUCCUGCAACUGUGCUCUGCUCUCCACAGGCCCCUGAGCAAAAUAAUAUGUAAUAAAACUCCUCGAAGUCAUCUUAGAGAUUAUGUGUUGGGUCAUCUGUUCCCUCCCACCUGAGGGGUCAUUGCUUGACACAGCCGACUGUACAGGUCAGCCUUUGAACGUUUGAUGAGGAAGCAAACAAGCAAUGGGCAAGGUGGGAAUUUCUGCUCCCAGGCUCACCUCCCGGAAGUGUCUGAGAACUCCCGCCAAUGGCGUAGGACCUGAUUUCCACCCCAAGCUGCCAAGUGAAGCUGAGAGAUCUGUACUUACAUGGUAACUCUUUGCUCUUUCUGUGGGAUUUCUCCAAGAAGGCUGUUGCUGUUAGAGACUCUGCAGAAAUCCUGCCACCUGCUUUGGGGGUGACCUCGUCCAGAACAUAACUCCAGCCCGUGGUGAACUGUCUCCUGCCUUGCAGCCUCUCCUUCUUUCCUCCCUGUGUUCCCAGAAUCCCCUCCAGGAAAGCGUCGUGCUCAAACCUUGCUUCAA